rnacentral:rRNA from 1 species
GUCGGCGAACGGCUACCGUGCAGUCGAGCGGUAACAUUCACAAAAGCUUGCUUUUGAAGAUGACGAGCGGCGGACGGGUGAGUAAUGCCUGGGAAUAUGCCUUGAUGUGGGGGAUAACCAUUGGAAACGAUGGCUAAUACCGCAUAAUGCCUACGGGCCAAAGAGGGGGAUCUUCGGACCUCUCGCGUCAAGAUUAGCCCAGGUGGGAUUAGCUAGUUGGUGAGGUAAUGGCUCACCAAGGCGACGAUCCCUAGCUGGUCUGAGAGGAUGAUCAGCCACACUGGAACUGAGACACGGUCCAGACUCCUACGGGAGGCAGCAGUGGGGAAUAUUGCACAAUGGGCGCAAGCCUGAUGCAGCCAUGCCGCGUGUGUGAAGAAGGCCUUCGGGUUGUAAAGCACUUUCAGUCGUGAGGAAGGUAGUUGCGUUAAUAGCGUAAUUAUUUGACGUUAGCGACAGAAGAAGCACCGGCUAACUCCGUGCCAGCAGCCGCGGUAAUACGGAGGGUGCGAGCGUUAAUCGGAAUUACUGGGCGUAAAGCGCAUGCAGGUGGUUUGUUAAGUCAGAUGUGAAAGCCCGGGGCUCAACCUCGGAAUUGCAUUUGAAACUGGCAGACUAGAGUACUGUAGAGGGGGGUAGAAUUUCAGGUGUAGCGGUGAAAUGCGUAGAGAUCUGAAGGAAUACCGGUGGCGAAAGGCGGCCCCCUGGACAGAUACUGACACUCAGAUGCGAAAGCGUGGGGAGCAAACAGGAUUAGAUACCCUGGUAGUCCACGCCGUAAACGAUGUCUACUUGGAGGUUGUGGCCUUGAGCCGUGGCUUUCGGAGCUAACGCGUUAAGUAGACCGCCUGGGGAGUACGGUCGCAAGAUUAAAACUCAAAUGAAUUGACGGGGGCCCGCACAAGCGGUGGAGCAUGUGGUUUAAUUCGAUGCAACGCGAAGAACCUUACCUACUCUUGACAUCCAGAGAAGCCAGCGGAGACGCAGGUGUGCCUUCGGGAACUCUGAGACAGGUGCUGCAUGGCUGUCGUCAGCUCGUGUUGUGAAAUGUUGGGUUAAGUCCCGCAACGAGCGCAACCCUUAUCCUUGUUUGCCAGCGAGUAAUGUCGGGAACUCCAGGGAGACUGCCGGUGAUAAACCGGAGGAAGGUGGGGACGACGUCAAGUCAUCAUGGCCCUUACGAGUAGGGCUACACACGUGCUACAAUGGCGCAUACAGAGGGCUGCCAACCAGCGAUGGUGAGCGAAUCCCAAAAAGUGCGUCGUAGUCCGGAUUGGAGUCUGCAACUCGACUCCAUGAAGUCGGAAUCGCUAGUAAUCGUGGAUCAGAAUGCCACGGUGAAUACGUUCCCGGGCCUUGUACACACCGCCCGUCACACCAUGGGAGUGGGCUGCAAAAGAAGUGGGUGUUUAACCUUUCGGGGAGGACGCUAGAGCAGAGGCGGUCCAAACG